CCUACGGGCGGCAGCAGUGGGGAAUAUUGGGCAAUGGAGGCAAGUCUUAACCAGCAAUGCCGCGUGAAUGAAGAAGGUCUUCGGAUUGUAAAGUUCUUUAAUUGGGGACGAAAAAAAUUACGGUACCCAAGGAAUAAGCCCCGGCUAAAUACGUGACAGGAGCCGCGGUAAUAAGUAGGGGGCAAGCGUUGUUCGGAAUGACUGGGCGUAAAUGGUGUGUAGGCGGUGUAGCAAGUUAGAAGUGAAAUACCUCGAGCUUAACUCAGGUGCUGCUUCUAAAACUGCUAGACUUGAGUGCAGUAGAGGAGAGUGGAAUUCGUAGUGUAGCGGUGGAAUGCGUAGAUAUUAGGAGGAACAUCAGUGGCGAAGGCGACUUUCUGGACUGUAACUGACGCUGAGGCACGAAAGUGUGGGGAGCAAACAGGAUUAGAUACCCUGGUAGUC
rnacentral:rRNA from 1 species